AGGAUCUACCCCAGCUCAGGCAGGCAGGCAGGGAGGGACGCACUGUGUGUUUUCUGUCCUGCAGGGGUGCUUCUCAGUAAAAGGUUGAGAAACACUGGUCCAGAACACAAGGUGCACAUCUGAGUGGUUAGAUAGGACGGUCUUCCCAUUAACAAUGGUCUAUUUUGUAACAAUGUUAGAAACAGAAGAUUAAAAACAAUAAUAUAAACCGCACAGUUCCCCUAUACAA